UCAAACUUGGUCAUUUAGAGGAAGUAAAAGUCGUAACAAGGUCUCCGUAGGUGAACCUGCGGAGGGAUCAUUACCGAGCGAGGGCCCCGACGGGCCCGACCUCCCACCCUUUUGUGAACCGAAACCGCGUUGCCUCGGGGGGCGUCCCGGCCGCCGGCCGUGCCGCCCCCCGGUGGACCGUCCAAACACCGUUUUUGAGGCGUCGGAGUGGAGCGAAUCAAUCAAAACUUUCAACAACGGAUCUCUUGGUUCUGGCAUCGAUGAAGAACGCAGC
rnacentral:misc_RNA from 1 species